UACGAAGGGGGCUAGCGUUGCUCGGAAUCACUGGGCGUAAAGCGCACGUAGGCGGCUUAUUAAGUCAGGGGUGAAAUCCUGGAGCUCAACUCCAGAACUGCCUUUGAUACUGAUGAGCUUGAGUUCGGGAGAGGUGAGUGGAACUGCGAGUGUAGAGGUGAAAUUCGUAGAUAUUCGCAAGAACACCAGUGGCGAAGGCAGCUCACUGGCCCGAUACUGACGCUGAGGUGCGAAAGCGUGGGGAGCAAACAGG
rnacentral:rRNA from 1 species